rnacentral:lncRNA from 1 species
GACCUACACGCACAAACCCAACAUUCAAUUAUUUGUUCUCGCCAUUUAUAACAUCAGAAAACUGAAUCAAUCAAUCUACAGAUGAUAAUUUACAUACCGGUUGUCACCGACAAAGUCAGUAGACACAACAUCAUCCUCGGUGUAUCCCAAAAUUCCCUUCAGUUUGCCUUCAGAUUCCUCCCUGAAAAGAAAGUUUAACCAAAAUCAUUGUAAGUCAUCAAAUAUCUAUUUAUAUGCGGCUAAGAGCAAGUGAGUGUUGACGGUUUUUACUUGAUGGCCUUCUUGAUUUCAUCGUAUGUUGCAGCUUUCUCAAGUCUAACGGUGAGAUCAACAACUGAGACAUCAACGGUUGGAACACGGAAAGACAUUCCAGUCAAUUUUCCAUUGAGGGAUGGCAACACUUUCCCAACAGCCUAUUAACAAGCAUGAUACAAAAAUUAGAAACAACAUAAUUUCUCAAUCAAAAUUAACAAAAGAGCCUGAAAUGAUACCUUGGCGGCACCAGUGCUGCUAGGAAUAAUGUUGAAGGAAGCAGCUCUUCCACCUCUCCAGUCCUUCAUUGAUGGACCAUCAACAGUCUUCUGAGUAGCUGAUUACCAAAACAACAGUUAUUAUUGAAUCAAAUUCAAAUAUAUAUUUUCAAGAAUCAAAAUAAUGAAACUAGGUACGUACCAGUGAUAGAGUGGACAGUGGUCAUGAGUCCCUCAACAAUACCAAAUCUGUCGUUAAUAACCUGCAUAAACAAAUUGCAACAGUAAGAGAAAUGAUUCAACUCAAAAUUCAGAAUUCCGAACAAAUUACACAAGUAGAAGAAGAUACCUUGGCAAGAGGAGCAAGGCAGUUAGUGGUGCAACUAGCGUUGGAAACAAUGUCA